UAUCAAAUAAAUUUCGAUAACAUUAACAAUUCACUCACAAAAGCAAAAAUCUAAAAGUGGAGAGAAAACUCUAAGGAUAUUUUAGCGAAACUGACGCGACAGCUUUUACCAUAGAUAUACACAAAUUCCAUGACGUAUAGUUUGUACAAUCUUACUCAGCCGCUAUGUCCAAAAUGCAUUCAUUUUUUCGAUGUAGCAAUAUUUACAAUAAUUCAGAGGUAAUUCGGUACUUUAAUUACAAACCACUAGUCAUGACUUAUGUUACAAUAAAUCGCAUAUGUUAUAAAAUAACAUCCAACAAUAGUACAUACAGGAACUACUUCACAAUUUCAUCUUAUUUCUUUCCAUACAAUUUACAAAUAGUUUUUAAAAAUGUCCACAUAUCUAACAGUACUUUUAUAUUCUCAAAAAGU